UACAGAGGUCUCAAGCGUUGUUCGGAUUCAUUGGGCGUAAAGGGUGUGUAGGUGGCGCGCUAAGUCGGGUGUGAAAUUUCGGAGCUUAACUCCGAAACUGCAUUCGAUACUGGCGUGCUUGAGGACUGGAGAGGAGACUGGAAUUUACGGUGUAGCAGUGAAAUGCGUAGAUAUCGGGAGGAACGACCGGUGGCGAAGGCG
rnacentral:rRNA from 1 species